UAUUUAACAGGUCAGCUAUAGCCUGAAUGCUGCCCUCAUUAUGCUGAAUAAACACAGUCAAGUGCCAUGACAUAGAAGAGCUAUGAUAUGUUUAGAGGGUGAAGGCACAGGACUGUGCACGUACGACUAGGACACCACUGGUGAAGUCCCUUCAAGGUAGAGGAAUGCCAGGGACCUGAAGAAUCUGGGGCACUCUAGGAUAUGAGUAUGCUUCCUGCUGGCCUAUCAGGAAAGUCAUUGGACACAAAACUGGAAAUGUCUGAGACAAUGAGAAGUAUGAGUAAACACUCAAAAUGUUCCUCUUUGGAGAAAAGUCUAAAGAAGUUGAAAUGGUGAAGUUAAAUUACUCAGGAAAGGAAACUCCUGGAAACCUGGAAGAACUUGGAGGACCAAAGAACUUGGAGGACCAGAGGACUUAACGGC